rnacentral:lncRNA from 1 species
CUCUUAAGAAGUGGUCAGCUGUGCUGUGGGCAUAUGCAAAUCAGCAGGGCUGGGAAGGGCUGGGCAUAGCUGCAGGGCAGGCUCUUUUCAGUUACUCAUCACUGGUGGAGCAUCCCCAGUGAUCUCAGCGCAGCCAGCACAGCACAACUGGGUAUGCAGAGAACUUAUUUCUCCCUGGGGUCAUUUUGUAACAAAAGAUAUUUUAGAGAGUAUUUUCAAAAUGAGAAAUGCACAGAGAGGACUGUAUAAAUUAACCAUUUCAUGGUGGUUUUUAAAUAGUGAUGGAGAAUUUACUUUUUUGUAGAGAACACACAGUGCAGUCUUGGCAGAGGGCUGGUGGGGCUUUAACUUACUCCAAAAUGACCCUGAUUGGUAAGAUCUCUCUGUUGUCCAUGCAUAUUUGUGACUUUAAAGCAGUUUCUUCUCUGUAAAUAAGAAAGAUAAUUUUUCAGAAACAUGUUCAGAGCAUCGAAAGCUAUUUCAGAAAGCUGUCAGUCAUUGUGAUUACCAGUGGAAGGUUUACCAGAUGCACAAAAAUGAUCUUGGUAUAUCACUCGAAGUCCCUGUCACCUGUAAGUGCAGGUUCUUUGGAGGUCAGAGGCUGAAUGGCUGCAGCUCAUCCUUGAAUUGGGCUCUCCCCUAUUCUGCCCCUUUUUGCCAUUUGUCACUGUUCCCCAGAGAUCAUCAGCAUGAAGGGCUGGUUAUUGAGGCGAGGCCUGCUGACUAACUGACAGCCACUGCAACCCAGUGCAUUUCCCUGAUAUGCACCAUGGAUGCCCUCUUCGGCUCUUCCCUGCAGCAGUGAGUGGGCAGCUCAUGCUGACCCAGGCUCC